rnacentral:rRNA from 1 species
GUGAACGCUGGCGGUAGGCCUAACCCAUGCCAGUCGAACGGCAGCACAGUAAGAGCUUGCUCUUACGGGUGGCGAGUGGCGGACGGGUGAGGAAUACAUCGGAAUCUACUUUUUCGUGGGGGAUAACGUAGGGAAACUUACGCUAAUACCGCAUACGACCUACGGGUGAAAGCAGGGGAUCUUCGGACCUUGCGCGAUUGAAUGAGCCGAUGUCGGAUUAGCUAGUUGGCGGGGUAAAGGCCCACCAAGGCGACGAUCCGUAGCUGGUCUGAGAGGAUGAUCAGCCACACUGGAACUGAGACACGGUCCAGACUCCUACGGGAGGCAGCAGUGGGGAAUAUUGGACAAUGGGCGCAAGCCUGAUCCAGCCAUACCGCGUGGGUGAAGAAGGCCUUCGGGUUGUAAAGCCCUUUUGUUGGGAAAGAAAAUCAGCAGGUUAAUACCCCGCUGUUCUGACGGUACCCAAAGAAUAAGCACCGGCUAACUUCGUG